rnacentral:tRNA from 1 species
AAACAAAGAAGUAAAAUUUUACAUUUAGUUUCGACCUAAAUUUAGAGAUAUUCUCCAUGUUUU